AGAUUGAACGCUGGCGGCAUGCCUUACACAUGCAAGUCGAACGGUAGAGUAGCAAUACUCGAGAGUGGCGAACGGGUGAGUAAUAUAUCGGAACGUGCCCAGUCGUGGGGGAUAACGUAGAGAAAUUUACGCUAAUACCGCAUACGAUCUACGGAUGAAAGCGGGGGAUCGCAAGACCUCGCGCGAUUGGAGCGGCUGAUAUCAGAUUAGGUUGUUGGUGAGGUAAAAGCUCACCAAGCCGACGAUCUGUAGCUGGUUUGAGAGAACGACCAGCCACACUGGGACUGAGACACGGCCCAGACUCCUACGGGAGGCAGCAGUGGGAAUUUGGACAAUGGGCGAAAGCCUGAUCCAGCAAUGCCGCGUGCAGGAAGAAGGCCUUCGGUGUAAACUGCUUUUGUACGGAACGAAAAGGCUCUUCUAAUAAAGGGCCAUGACGUACCGUAAGAAUAAGCACGGCUAACUACGUGCCAGCAGCCGCGGUAACUCUA
rnacentral:rRNA from 1 species